rnacentral:rRNA from 1 species
GCGUGAGGGAUGAAGGUUCUCGGAUCGUAAACCUCUGUCAGGGGGGAAGAAACCCCCUCGUGUGAAUAAUGCGAGGGCUUGACGGUACCCCCAAAGGAAGCACCGGCUAACUACGUGCCAGCAGCCGCGGUAAUACGUAGGUGGCGAGCGUUGUCCGGAAUUACUGGGCGUAAAGGGCGCGUAGGCGGCCUGUUAAGGCAGAGGUGAAACCCCCAGGCUCAACUUGGGGAUUGCAUAUGAAACUGAUGGGCUCGAGUGUCGGAGAGGAAAGCGGAAUUCCUAGUGUAGCGGUGAAAUGCGUAGAUAUUAGGAGGAACACCAGUGGCGAAGGCGGCUUUCUGGACGAUAACUGACGCUGAGGCGCGAAAGCGUGGGGAGCAAA